rnacentral:rRNA from 1 species
AACGAACGCUGGCGGCGUGGAUAAGACAUGCAAGUCGAACGGGAUUUGUUUUGUAGCAAUACAAGGCAAGUCCAGUGGCGUAAGGGUGCGUAACACGUGGGGGAAUCUGCCGAGAAGUGGGGGAUAGCUCGUCGAAAGGCGAAUUAAUACCGCAUGUGGUUAGUGAAGACAUCUUCACGAUACCAAAGCCGGGGCAACCUGGCGCUUCUUGAUGACCCCGCGGCCUAUCAGCAGUUGGUGAGGUAACGGCUCACCAAGGCUAUGACGGGUAGCUGGUCUGAGAGGACGACCAGCCACACUGGAACUGAGACACGGUCCAGACACCUACGGGUGGCAGCAGUGGGGAAUCUUGCGCAAUGGGCGAAAGCCUGACGCAGCGACGCCGCGUGAGGGAUGACGGCCU